rnacentral:lncRNA from 1 species
AAGAAAACGAUUGUUUUUUUUUUCAGAAAAAAUUGAUCCUGUUACCAUCCAACCUUUUUUCAGUAAAAAUUUUGCUGAUAACUGAUAAUUGAAAUUACGUGUUACAAGACUACACUCCCUUGAUUCUCUCGAGUAACCUGUGCAACUUUGGCCUGUCAGCUGUAAGUGACGUUACUUCAGCUGUGCACGACUUUUCCACCUCUGUUUUGAACCUGAUUUGGCCUGAGGAUCUGCAAAGCAGAUCUGAACAUUUUUUCCUGAUUCAGAUUCUGCUUCUGCUGUUCAAGAAUUUGAGACAAAGGCAGAUUCAUGAAGAAUCCCUCUUUCGAAGAGUACCCUGAAGAAAAUCCUGCUGCCAUGACAAAUAACUCAGGAAAGAAUGAAAAAGUUGACCUAAGGUUGGAAAUGCCGGCCAUAAACACGCAGGGAUCAGAUCAUAGCCCUGUAACUGUUACAACAUCCAUAAGUAGACGACCUGCAGAAGACAGUACUCUGGAGUACGCUUAUGAUAACCCAGCAAUGACACCUUCCCGGUGAAUUUGUUUGUGAACUUCAAGAAUGUUUUUUUGUGUCUUCAGCCUUUUCUUUUCAUUUUAUCUGAUGCAAGAUAAGUUAUUUUCAUUUCAAGAGAAAUACGUAGUUUUUAUUAACUAUGCUUGAUACUCAAAUGAUAUAAAUUUUUCCCAAAUAACUGAAUAUGAGAAAAUAUAUGAAGUUGGAAACGGAAUCAGAAGAAGAGAAAAUAGUUCGUGACAAAGAUUUCUUUUCAAAUUCCAUGUAACACCGUUAUUGAUUUAAUUCAUUGAAGUACCUUCAUAAUGAAAAUUUGUAAUAAAAUAUUUUCUCUGUAAAAGCAACAAUUAAAAUAUAUCUAAAUUAUAAACUAUGAUAUCUCAUAGAAAUUUUUAUGGAAAAAUAGGUGUAAUUUCUACUGUACUAGUAUUGGACGAAAUUUGUUUAUUGUGAAUAUUGUAUUGAUUCGUGUUUUCCAAUGAUAGAGAAUCAUUUGAUAUUAAUUAGGUAGUAGAAAGUUGAAAUUAUCCUUCUUCAUCACAGAAUUUGUGCAAUAUUUUUGACACUUUUUCAUUCAUUUCACAUCAUAUUCAUCAAUGUACUUAAAUACUAGUCAAUAAUGUACUGAAAGUUAUUAUCACUUGGUGUUUAAACAUUCAUUCUACAGUGUGUGUAUCAUCUAACAUCCAUUAGAAAUUGGAGGUGAAGGAGUGCAGUUUCCAAAUUACAUCUCAUUUUGAAGUUCCAAUGAAUCUGGCUCCUUUACGUUAUUCACCAAUAUACUGGGAACUUACUAGAAAUCGAAAUAUGAUCUUUCUAAAGUAUCUAUUUCCGAAGAUAACUCUGUUGAAGGAUCUGCUCCACCCAGACUUUCUCCAACUCGUUUGAUCAUUUCUCAGUAGUUCAGUUAUACCAAGGAAGAAGUCAAAGAAAGGUCUAUCUGACCAUUGUGGUGACCAAUUAUUAGAAAGACCAGUUUCAUUGGCAGUAUUGAUUACAAUUUUCUAUAUGUGAAUAAUUUCGUUCCUAAGAUUACAGAAAAACUCUAGAAGCCAGUAGUAUUUGAUCUCAAACCAGUUUUCAAUGAGUGGAUAUGUAAUAGAUAAGCAACUGAAAAUGAAAUUCCAUAUCCGUAGAGUUAUAAUCAUCUUUUAGGCUCCGUUAUUUGUUGUGCGAUUUUUUCACGGAAGAUGAACGGAAUGAAAAAAAAUCAUAAACAAACUGACUGGAAGUGGAAGGCAAAAUAUCAUUAUAUUA